UGCGUAGGCGGGCUAAUAAGUCAGUGGUGAAAUCUCUCGGCUCAACCGGGAAACUGCCAUUGAUACUGUUAGUCUUGAGUUCGGUUGAGGUAGGCGGAAUGUGCAAUGUAGCGGUGAAAUGCUUAGAUAUUACACAGAACACCAAUUGCGUAGGCAGCUUACUAGACCGACACUGACGCUGAGGCACGAAAGCGUGGGGAGCGAACAGGAUUAGAUACCCUGGUAGUCC
rnacentral:rRNA from 1 species